GCCUAGGAAUCUGCCUGGUAGUGGGGGACAACGUCUCGAAAGGGACGCUAAUACCGCAUACGUCCUACGGGAGAAAGCAGGGGACCUUCGGGCCUUGCGCUAUCAGAUGAGCCUAGGUCGGAUUAGCUAGUUGGUGAGGUAAUGGCUCACCAAGGCGACGAUCCGUAACUGGUCUGAGAGGAUGAUCAGUCACACUGGAACUGAGACACGGUCCAG
rnacentral:rRNA from 1 species